rnacentral:rRNA from 1 species
GUAGGGUGCGAGCGUUAAUCGGAAUUACUGGGCGUAAAGCGUGCGCAGGCGGUUGGGUAAGACAGAUGUGAAAUCCCCGGGCUUAACCUGGGAACUGCAUUUGUGACUGUCCGACUGGAGUACGUCAGAGGGGGGUGGAAUUCCACGUGUAGCAGUGAAAUGCGUAGAGAUCUGGAGGAAUACCGGUGGCGAAGGCGGCCCCCUGGACAAAGACUGACGCUCAGGUGCNAAAGCGUGGGGAGCAAACAGGAUUAGAUACCCUGGUAGUCCACGCCGUAAACGAUGUCGACUUGGAGGUUGUUCCCUUGAGGAGUGGCUUCCGGAGCUAACGCGUUAAGUCGACCGCCUGGGGAGU